rnacentral:lncRNA from 1 species
UGCGGAUAAGAGCUCGGUCCAUCACAUGAGGUAUUAUCCGCUUUGCUCCAUGGGCCUCACGAUUUUAUCCUUUAAAAGGCACCUCAUAUGGGAAGAAUUUUUUUCUUCUCAUAACGUGAGUCUCUUUUGACUCACAAUCGAUGUGGGACUAUUAGUGCCCUCCACAUUAUUAGAACCACAUCUGGAUCGAUCAUUGAUCGGACGGUUCGACGCAUCUGCUCCUGAUUGUGCCAUCUCAUCAUUAUCCGCAUGAACAACUCCGACCCAAUGAUAUUUGGAUACGUGGCCAAGAUCUACUAAUCAGAAUCAAAUCAUUUGGAUGUUCUAAACAUCGAAUUAUCUUAUCGAAAUGAUGGCCCAAUAAUGAUUUCACAGCUAUCGAAAUAGCAAAAUAGUCGGAGAUCUCUCGUAUUCCAAAAACUCAUAAAGGCCAACA